rnacentral:rRNA from 1 species
AUAAGCCCAGCACUGAAUCCCGUCGUUGUCACGGCGGCGGGAGAUGUGGUGUUCGGGAGGUUCCGCUUUCUCGUCGUUGUCUUCUCCUGUCCAAGUUCGUCUUGAACGGGGCCGUUUACCCACAGAGGGUGCCAGGCCCGUAGCGACGGAGGACGGCGGCGAGAGGGACUCUCCUCAGAGUCGGGUUGCUUGAGAGUGCAGCCCUAAGUGGGUGGUAAACUCCAUCUAAGGCUAAAUAUUACCGCGAGACCGAUAGCGAACAAGUACCGUA